GGAUAUCGACAAUCUUUUUGCCGUCAACGGUUGAUUGGUACAAGGUUUCCUCGAAGAGGAUAGCGCCCGAGAUGUAGUUGCCAAGGCCCGGUGGGGUAACAAGUAGGGUCCGGUAAGCUUGACGGUUAGCCUCGGUGUUCUCAAGACCGAUAGAAGCUAACCGCUUUCCACAAGUGGCAUUUGACUCAUCCAUGGCUAGGAUUCCGCGGCCCGGUGAUGCUACGGUUUUCUAAAUUUAAUAAUAAAAGUUCUAUUAGUUAUCAACUUAUUUAUUUUUAAUCUGAAAUGUUUGUUGUUUGAAUUAAAGAGAAUAAAAACACUUACCGCGGUUUUAACGAGCUCAUCGGCAUAGGAAGCACGGACGGUGAGGGCAGAGGGUGCGCCCGAGCUGACCCGCACCACGGAAACCGAGGGUUGGCGAAGGGUCUGACCCUUAACCCAAUCAGAUUUGUCAAGAAUGGCUGGGGAUGACUGGAAGAGAUAUGCUGAAGCCAUUUUUUAUUUUCUUUAAAAAAUAGAAAAUAUAAAAAAUAAUACUAAAAGAAAAGAGACUCACUCAAUUGUGUUUGGGCUCACUAAAUUUAUAGUUAUAAUAUGAGGUAAGAAAAGAUAUAAUUUUUAAGGCUAAGAUGGUUUGGCUUAUUAGAGAGUGACACGUGGAUUGAUAACUUUGAUGACAUGGCGGCUGGAAUUUAGCAAAGUUUGGGAUGAUAUGUGAUGAGGGGACGAAAUUGUCUCGAUGGGAAUUUCAGGAUGAUUAUUUAUUUAUUAAUGGUUGUUAUUUAUUAAAGUUAUUGUUUUAUAAAAGAACAAAAUCAUGAACUUUUCAAAGGAAAUAAUGUGGGGCCCACUGGGUUUAUAUGUGAGGUUGGCAAGAUUUCAUUCCAUAUACAAAAGAAAGAUUCUGAUGAUCCUCUAA
rnacentral:lncRNA from 1 species